rnacentral:rRNA from 1 species
GACGGAGGAUGCAAGUGUUAUCCGGAAUCACUGGGCGUAAAGCGUCUGUAGGUGGUCAAAUAAGUCAACUGUUAAAUCUUGAGGCUCAACCUCAAAAAUCGCAGUCGAAACUAUUCGAACUAGAGUAUAGUAGGGGUAAAGGGAAUUUCCAGUGGAGCGGUAGGAAAUGACGUAGAGAUUGGAAAGAACACCGAUGGCGAAGGCACUUUACUGGGCUAUUACUAACACUGAGAGACGAAAGCUAAGGGUAGCAAAUGGG